CAGAGGGCUCAGUGUAAACUGAUAUCCAGGAACGAGACACAGUGCCAUGCAAAUCACAGAAUCAGGCAAAAUGAGAGUAAUAGAUCAAAUAAUGUCAGCCUGAUGCAUUGAUCAAAGUGUGAGCUAAUGGUGGAGCAAAGAGAACUGGAGGCCAAUAAGUUUAUAUCUAGGUUUUUGCUCUUUUUAUUAAUGUACAUAUUAAUUAAUGCUCAACGGAAUAAUUCUAAUAAUGUCAACCAUCAAUUCUCAAUGAAGACCACCAUAAAUAAAUAAAUAAAUAAAUAAAUAAAUAAAUAAAUAAAUAAUAAAUACAAGCAGAAACAAAGCUGUUGACAAGCAAAGCCAAGUGUAUUAAACUAACUUCAGCAACGGAUAUUUAUCGUCUUGAUAGUCUUAGUAAUAUUUCAAAGAAAGAGGAUAGGGAAGAGUAUUUACAGUUUUGGAGUCUUCUCUCAAAUCAUUUGAGGAGAUACUCCAAAAUGAUAUAAGCUUAAAGCCCUACAAAAAUUAAAUCUGCCCCAAACAUAUUAUAAGUAUUUACAUAAAGUUUUGGAGUCUUGAGUAAAGAACAGAAAUAAUACUGGAACUGUAAAGUAUAGUACAGCAGCUCACAGAAUUACAGAUCAGAGAUCUUCCCAGCUGGAUGGAAGAAGAGAAACCAAAAGAAGUCUGAGAAACUGACACUCUAGUAUAAGAGUUCUGGAUCUUCUUCUCCUUCAGGUCAAGUGGGUCAUGAUGGAUGGAGCAGGGAGAUAUACAGAGAAGAGCAGACCUCUAGAUGAGGUUGAUAAUCCAAAAGGAAAGAAGAAUGACUUACUGUCUACCUGGAACUCCUACAAGCUAUAGCUUCUCACACACACACCACCACGCCAAGAAGCAGGAGAGCAAAGAUGGCUACAGUUGGACAACCUGAAGUAGUCCCAAUAACAUUUUCAUAGUCCCAGAGGAGUGCUUGAGAGAGACUGCUCCUUUCCAGUGUCCAUGAGGAAAGCACAAUGGUUAACAGAGAGAGCUCUAAUGGACGUCACCCAGAUGUAAGGAAAACAUACCAAACAGAGAGAGGCUUCCGCCCUCUCCCGCAGUAGCAAAUGAGGUCUACACUGCUUCAGCACCCGUCAUGGUGAAGGAACUUGCCACCUGAGAAUUGCAUAGAGCUUUUGUACAUUUCAGCGAGGCCUGAAGAGAAUUAAUUAACACCCACCCACCCCCCUGUAGCUUGUGUAAUCUCUGUGAUUUAAAAUGAAAUUCAGACAGAAAGGAGGGAGAUAAAAUCCUGAAUUUAACUGAGUUUGAACCUCAAAUACCUGAGAGAAAUCUCUGAAAUGAUUAAAAUUGCCUGGACAUAACUAGAUCACAGUUUCUAAGUUUAGUUUUAUGAUUGCACUGAGGGGUAUAUGGCUUGUGAAAAAUCACACACUAUAUACAUAUUUGGUUUCUGUACUUCUCAACUAAUCUUUUGUAGCGUCUUGAUGAAGUUUCGAUUAAAAAUAAAUGCAACCCAGCAACAAAAAUCUCCAAGUAUUUUUUAAAGAAAGGCAUGUCAAUCAAGUAGAACAGAAUACUGUUUUUUAGGGAACUUUUUGGUCCCCAGAGAGGAUAGAAGAGAGAAUCAAUAUCCUACCCAGAAGACAGACUAACGUGGGUAGCCACUGAUAGAAUAAACCUGAAUAUCAAAGUAUGAGACUUAUCUGAGAGCCAGCUGUCCUGUUUGUUGUUGUUGUUGUUGUUAUUUUCAGCUGUCCUGUUUAAAGCUUGAAUUUUUAUUAGCUGAGCAACAACAUACUAGCCUGUAAAGGCAUCAUACUACUCAUGGAACAUAAAGAAAAAUAAGAAUAUUCCUUGACUCUCAGGAACACAUAAGGACUUUUCCUUAUUUACUUGUAGUAUAGUACCUAAAGAGAUAAAAGUCACGUCUUCUAUGGAUUCUGGUGAAAACAAAGAGGUCAAAGACUUGAACCUGGUUGACUUGAACCAAAUUGAGAUUGAAAUUGGAGAUGAUUUGUCUCAAAUAGCUUCAGUUACUGAUAAAGCCGAAGCAUUCAACACCAACUGCAGGCUAUUUGGCAUCUACUACCAAUCCUAAAUAUAAACGAUAGCAGUAAUUUGGUCCUGAUUCAGUAAGACAUAUAGGAUAGUAUAGUUGAAUGAUGCUAGGCUUCCAAACAAAACUCAAUGUCCAAUCUCUUUGCAUAUUCCUAGAAAACAUGUUUCACUCUUGUUUAUACUGUUUCUGUUUAAAUACAAAAUUGAAAAAUCAUAUAUUUAAAAGUUAGCACUUUUUUUUUUUUUGGCUCUUGUAACAGAUGAGGUAUAAUGAAUAGAGAAAUCAUAGGGUGCACUCUUUGUAUCCAAACUGCUGGA